AGGGCAAGUCUGGUGCCAGCAGCCGCGGUAAUUCCAGCUCUCAAAAUGCAUAGAAUUAUUGCUGCGGUUAAAAAGCUCGUAGUUGGAUCUGUGCUAGCCGGCCGGUGCACACUUUGUGUGUUACUGGUUUGGUUGGCUUUUCUGCUGGUCUCUCCCCGGCGUUGGCCUUUAUUGGUUGGCGUCGGUGGGCUAGCGAGUUUACUUUGAACAAAUCAGAGUGCUUCAAACAGGCGUUUCGCUUGAAUGUUCGUGCAUGGAAUAAUAGAAGAGGAUUUCGGUCCGAUUUUAUUGGUUUUGCUGACCGAGAUAAUGGUUAACAGAGACAAACGGGGCCAUUCGUAUUGCUACGUGAGAGGUGAAAUUCUUGGACCGUAGCAAGACGGACUACAGCGAAAGCAUUUGGCAAGAAUGUCUUCAUUAAUCAAGAACGAAAGUCAGAGGUUCGAAGGCGAUCAGAUACCGCCCUAGUUCUGACCGUAAACGAUGCCAACUAGCGAUCCGCCGGCGGAUUCAUUCGCCCUGGUGGGGAGCUUCCCGGAAACGAAAGUCUUCCGGUUCCGGGGGAAGUAUGGUUGCAAAGCUGAAA
rnacentral:rRNA from 1 species